GCUGCAGCUGCUGUUGCUGCUGCUGCUGAGGCUGAGGCUGAUGUUGCUGCUGUUGCUGCUGCUGCUGCUGUUGCGGCU
rnacentral:sRNA from 1 species